ensembl:lncRNA
CAGCCCUGCACACAGGGGAGAGAAGAGGGGAUUAAAGCGGUGAGGAUUGCAGCUGCACAGACAGAAAGAGAGCAGAGGGAGGGAGACGGGCUUACAGAUAAAAAAGGGACAGACUGGAAACCAAUAAUGCGGCGCUGAUUUAAAAGGAUGCCGAUGCCGCCAGAUCUUGGGACGCGGAAGGAGGAAAGGAAAUGCUGGAGACUAGGGAGCAACUUGCUUCAGUCCUCGUUGUGGUUCAGCCUGCAGAGACACCAACUCUGUUGCCUGCCUGCUACCCCCUCCAGCAUGUCAGUGCUGAGCCCUCACUGUGGAGCAGCGGCGUUGAAAGUGCUGGAAACUGGCCUCACUCGCCCGUCGGACGCAAGACAGUUGAGAAGUGGAGGGACGACGUCCAAAGCACACAAGUGGGGCAAAUGAAAGCCAUUUGUUUUAGAAAAUAAGUCUUCAUUAUGUCAACCCAUAAUAAAGUCAUAAAACAACCAAACUUUAUGAAUGUUUUUUGUGACAAAGUAUCUGUUCCAAUCACUCGAUCAGAGAAAAAUAAGAGUUGUAGAAAUAACCGGAAACUCAAGAGAGCUGUCAUGAACCGGGUAUCCUCCUCUUUUCCUCUCCAACCCUUUCUUCACUUACACACACUAAUUACGC